rnacentral:rRNA from 1 species
AUUGAACGCUGGCGGCAGGCCUAACACAUGCAAGUCGAGCGGAGCGGCGGACGGGUGAGUAAUGCCUAGGAAUCUGCCUGGUAGUGGGGGAUAACGUCCGGAAACGGGCGCUAAUACCGCAUACUAUCAGAUGAGCCUAGGUCGGAUUAGCUCGUUGGUGGGGUAAAGGCCUACCAAGGCGACGAUCCGUAACUGGUCUGAGAGGAUGAUCAGUCACACGGGAAUGGAGACACUGUCCAGACUCCUUGAGGAGGCAGCAGUGGGGAAUAUUGGACAAUGGGCGCAAGCCUGAUGCAGCCAUGCCGCGUGUAUGAAGAAGGCCUUCGGGUUGUAAAGUACUUUCAGCGGGGAGGCGUUACCCGCAGAAGAAGCACCGGCUAACUCCGUGCCAGCAGCCGCGGUAAUAC